rnacentral:rRNA from 1 species
GACGAACGCUGGCGGCGUGCUUAACACAUGCAAGUCGAACGGUCGGCACUGGAAGGUUCGCUGGAAGGUGCCGGUAGUGGCGGACGGGUGAGUAACGCGUGAGGACAUGGCUCCAGGAGGGGGAUAACGUUUGGAAACGGACGCUAAGACCCCAUAUGCCGGAAGGUGAAAAUGGCGCAAGCCAGCCUGGAGAGUGACUCGCGUCCUAUCAGCUAGUUGGUGGGGUGAAGGCCUACCAAGGCGAUGACGGGUAGCCGACCUGAGAGGGUGGCCGGCCACACUGGAACUGAGAUACGGUCCAGACUCCUACGGGAGGCAGCAGUGGGGAAUAUUGGGCAAUGGGCGAAAGCCUGACCCAGCGACGCCGCGUGGGGGAAGAAGUCUUUCGGGAUGUAAACCCUUGUUGUACGGGACGAAAACAAUGACGGUACCGUACGAGGAAGCCCCGGCAAACUACGUG